UCUUGACUUUGGGGAACUGAAUAUGGUUACCAUAGGUCUGGAACAGACUGGUAACUGCAGGGUACUCCACAGAACAUGGAAGUCAUAAGUUAGGUCAAGGGUAAUGGUUUUGGGGAUGAGAUAAUUGAUAUUAAUCCAUAUAAUAUAUGUCAUAAUAUGUUAACCUACAGAGUAAGUCUACCCGGAGAUUUAUCUGGGUGAGGAAAUAAGAUUUGGGCAUGGUAGGUUGGGCUUUGAUUAAGGCAGUACUAGGACCCUAUAAGAGGGCAAACAACUAUGCAGGGUGGUCGCUCUUUCCUAUCUUCUAUCAGGCUAUCGGCUCAGCUUUGCAAUAUAGCUUAGCUACUCAACACUUGAACCUGAUCCCUACCAACCUGGAAAGCUUGGACCAUCAAAUUCAUUGGGCAUG